rnacentral:rRNA from 1 species
GCAAGUCGAGCGGUAACAGGAAUUAGCUUGCUAAUUUGCUGACGAGCGGCGGACGGGUGAGUAAUGCCUAGGGAACUGCCUUGAUGUGGGGGAUAACCAUUGGAAACGAUGGCUAAUACCGCAUAAUGCCUACGGACCAAAGGGGGCUUCGGCUCUCGCCUUUAGAUUGGCCCAAGUGGGAUUAGCUAGUUGGUGAGGUAAUGGCUCACCAAGGCGACGAUCCCUAGCUGGUUUGAGAGGAUGAUC